UAUUAAAUCCAGUUGAUCCUGCUGGCGGCUGCGGCUCUCUGGUUUGCGUUUAGACAUGCAAGUUUUUUUCUUUGGUUCUUCGGAAUUAGGGAAAAGGCGAACUGCUCAGUAACACGUAGCUAACCUACCCUUAAGUCAAGAAUAACCUCGGGAAACUGAGGAUAAUACUUGAUAGGAGAUAUACCCUGGAAAGAUUUAUCUCCCAAACUCGUGCUUAAGGAUGGGGCUGCGGCGGAUUAGGUUGUUGGCGGGGUAACGGCCCACCAAGCCGAUGAUCCGUAAGGGCUCUUAGCGGAGAGGCCCUGAGAGGGAAUCUGAGACACUAUUCCCAGCCCUACGGGGUGCAGCAGUUAGGAAUAUUUUGCAAUGCGCGUAAGCGUGACAAAUUGAACCAGAGUGAUUCUCAUUGAGAAUCUUUUAUGAAAUGUAAAAAGUUUCACGAAUAAGGACUGGGUAAGACUAGUGCCAGCCGCCGCGGUAAUACUAGCGGUCCAAGUCGCAGCCAUUUUUAUUGGGUCUAAAACAUCCGUAGCUUGCUUUUUA
rnacentral:rRNA from 1 species